GAGAGGGAUAAAACCCGUGUCUGUGCCAGAGAGCUGUAAUCAUCACGUGAGUUCCCAGCGUGUCUCAACACUCAGAGCUGAGCCCUGGUUUGAAGAAUGAUGAGUGGACUGAACCUGCCAAAGGUGACAGAAACCAAAAGCUCAGUGUUUCUGUUUGUGACCCGUUGUGAAGUUGGGUUCUCUAAGGAAGAGACAAAAAUGAGCACACUUGCAUUGGAAUGACAGCACUUUGGUUUUGAUCCAUCAGAGGAAACUGGCAUCACAUCACAGAGCUGUGUCAUCCCCAGGUGUAGUCAGAAGACUUCAGCCUGUCAAGCCCUUUUUUUUGGCUUUGAGACUGGAACAACACUCAGGAAAAUCUAUCUGCUGCAGGAAACGUUCCUACCUGUCAGUCGUAGCCUGUCCUCACAGUCAUGCAGUGGAUUCCCAGGGUUGUGUUCAGGUCUGUGCUGUUGUGUGAAAUGGAUUAAGAGAAUGAAAGAAGCUGCCCUGACACAUCACAGAAAGCACUUUUCUUUCUAAAUCAAAGAGUUCUUCCAAUAGCAAUGGCCUUCUGGAAGCAAGAUGCUGGAAUGCUGGAUUUGUGCUGUGUGAGUGUGAUUGGGGAGCAUCCACCAACAGCAUCCCAUGUUCUUGAGUUGGAGGGCUUCACCUCUAGUGCUGGAAGGAAGCUGUCUCUCCUCCCAAAGACUGCUGCUGGAAUUGCAUUAUUCCCUGUUCCUGCCAGCCUGUCUGAUUCCCCAGCUGAAAGAUGAUGACAGUUGUGCUACUGGAAGGGAGAGCUGGAAACACGCAGAUGGAAGAUGACUUCUGGAGUGCCUGGGGUUAAAGGAGAAGAGGAAGAGCACCAAGACACCUGAGCGAGACUGUGCUGAGGAUGAAGGGUCAAUUAGUGGCUGCUGAGCAAAUCAUAGAGCUGCUGCAUCCUUGUAAUCCUAUAGACUUGGACCCUCUCUGCCAAUCCUGGCAGUGCUCUCCGGAAUAGAUGUAAGUAGAGCAGCACAGCACAAUGCAGCUCUGCUGAUCCGUGACCUGCAGCUCCUGGCAGUGCACCUGGCUGCCCGGGAACAGAUGUGAUUUCCACUGCACUUCAUGAAACAGGUGCUUGUCAAAUGAGAUGGCUGUGAACAUUGUUCAGUGCUUCCUGUGGCUAUAAAAAUACCCUUCACCAGCACUCAGGCUGGAUUGUUCCGGAAAAGCUAGGAGCAAAUCCUGUAGCUAAGCCUGCCUUUCCUUUUGUUGAGUUAUGGAAACAGUGAGGGGCAAUGGGAGGUGAGCAUGUGGCUUUAUGUAUUAUCAUCUCUGGGUAUUGGGGGUGCUAUUUUUGCUUCCUUCAGGGAAAAGUUAAAUAUUCUGAUUCAGACAUUCACGACGGAUGGCUUUUAAGGGAGAAAGUGGAAGGGUGUUGCUGACAUCUGGUCUCUGCUCCUGGCUCCUGGAGAUAUAUAGGUGUCUUCUUUGGGAAGUUUGAUGGUAGCAUGGUGGAUAAAGCUGGAGAACCCCACGGGCAGAGGAGAUAGAAGCUGCCAUGGCUUUGGUCAGCCACUGCUGCAAUAUUUCAGGGCUGCAAAGGUUUCAGGGGUCACAGCCUCUGCUACAAACAGUUGGAUGAUGUUUAGGAAGGGCAUUCACUGUCUUUGUUCUGUGCUUUGCUUAUGCAGCGUAGGGACCAGAUUGCAUGUAUGUGCCCUCAGGACCAAGCUGCAGAGCUGGGAAGGUCCAGACUCAGCAGUGUAGUGCCCUGCUGGGGAGCCCACAUCCAGCCAGAGGGCUGAAGCCAAUGCUUUCAGAUGGCUGCUGUUUUCUGUUGGGUGGUUCUCAUCUGUCCAACACGCACGUCUGGGUUUUGGCACAGGGAGUUGCUCCCAUGUCAUUGUCUGAUGGAAUUGGCCAGGUUUCAUUCAAUAGAUUGCGCUGUGCAUUGAGCUGCCAUCAGCACAGAUGCUUUGUGAAGAGGGAGCCCAUUUAACGAGCGCUUCGUUUCUCCCUCUCUGCCCACUGUGACCUUCAGAGUUGGAGCCUUUCUGGGUGCUGUGGCUCCAGUCCAAGCAGAGAAAGCCCAGCCUGCUGCUGGCACUGAGCUCCUGGGAGUCGGACUGGAACACGAGGAGAGGAUUUCCCAGUAUUUCCAGACGUGACCUUCAGAGCCAUACAAAUGCUAGUAUUAAACUCAUUACAGGCGAAGCCCUCCCGGUGACCUCGCACGGAUAACUCUCCCCCUGCUCUUUAUCUGGCUUUAUUUCCGAGACAGAUAAACGAUGCUAAUAACCCCUCUCCAGCCAAAAGGGAAAAAGAGCACGGCCCCCUCCCCUGACUCCAACAGAACCCAGCAAGGAAACCUCGAGCUGCAUCUCCACAACCGGGAGGAGCCCCGCGUUGGGGUUGGGGCCGGCGGUGAGGGAGGGCCCGC